GGGGCCGACUUGGUUUCGACGUGGGUAUCGAAGCAGCACAGUGCAUACCGAGGGCCAGCCACCUCGUAAAUCCAACUGGAAAACCACAAACGCAAACGACGAGCGUUUUGCUCUAGCCGCCUAAAACCGGCUGGACUCUGCACCGGUCUGCUCAUGGGCCGGGUCGGCGCAAGCUGACGGCAGAGUCAUUAUCAUGAGCUAAGGUUUCCGUUCGCCGCGAGCGGAAAUUCGAAAACCCAGCGGAUCGCCGUUUGCCAGCCUGCCGGUUGGCGUGCAAACGGUCAGAUCAAACAACCUGGCUAAGUAUGUAGUACUGGCUGUGUAGGACUUGCGGACGCGGGUUCAAUUCCCGCCGGCUCCACCA
rnacentral:tmRNA from 1 species